AUUGAACGCUGGCGGAAUGCUUUACACAUGCAAGUCGAGCGGCAGCGCGGCCUUCGGGCUGGCGGCGAGCGGCGAACGGGUGAGUAAUGCAUCGGAACAUGCCCAGUCGUGGGGGAUAACACUUCGAAAGAAGUGCUAAUACCGCAUACGUCCUGAGGGGGAAAGCGGGGGAUCGCAAGACCUCGCGCGAUUGGAGUGGCCGAUGUCAGAUUAGCUAGUUGGUGGGGUAAAGGCCUACCAAGGCGACGAUCUGUAGCUGGUCUGAGAGGAUGAUCAGCCACACUGGGACUGAGACACGGCCCAGACUCCUACGGGAGGCAGCAGUGGGGAAUUUUGGACAAUGGGGGCAACCCUGAUCCAGCCAUUCCGCGUGAGUGAAGAAGGCCUUCGGGUUGUAAAGCUCGGUCGGCAGGAACGAAACGGUGGGCUCUAACAUAGUCCGCUAAUGACGGUACCUGAAGAAGAAGCACCGGCUAACUACGUG
rnacentral:rRNA from 1 species